CCCGCGUCCCCGUUAUCCUCCCUGCCCUCCUCUCCAUUCUCCCCCGGUGCCCAUCCUCUCCGCGCCUCCCUCCUAGCCGCCCUGUUCCCCGUCUCUGCAGCCGGGAGAGCGCUGAACUUCCAAUAUAUUGAAUAGGAAUGCUGAGAGAGGAUCUCCUUGCCUUCCUAAUUUUAGCAGAUUUGGUGUUUAAAAUGAAAACGAAGUGGAGAUGACUCCUCGGGUAUUUCAGGCUCCGUCUCCUCACUCCUGAUGUGAAGCAGUAAGAGACUUUGGUCCACAUGCAACCCCUU